UAGGGAAUCUUCGGCAAUGGACGAAAGUCUGACCGAGCAACGCCGCGUGAGUGAAGAAGGUUUUCGAAUCGUAAAACUCUGUUGGUAGAGAAGAACGUUGGUGAGAGUGGAAAGCUCAUCAAGUGACGGUAACUACCCAGAAAGGGACGGCUAACUACGUGCCUG
rnacentral:rRNA from 1 species